rnacentral:snRNA from 1 species
GUGCUUGAUUUGGCAGCACAUGUAUUAAAAUGGGAAUAAUACAGAGAUUAGCAUGAUUCCUGCACAAGGAUGACAUACAAAUUUGUGAAGAGCUUCAUAUUAUU